rnacentral:lncRNA from 1 species
GGAUCUAUUGGGCCUACUACUCACAUUUCCACGUUUCGUAUGAAGUUUGGCAAAGUCUGUAGUCUUUGUUAUUUAAUGUUGGAUUUGAUAUCAUUAUCCUUUGAUUUUCGCAUUGCAAUUAUCGUGUGGUAUUGAGUUGUGAGUUUGUGACUUUGUGUGCAUGUUAUGUAUGGUGAUUCUUCUCACUUACUUUCAAGAUUCUCUCUUCGUUUGAUCUUUUUGUUAAGUGUUUGAACAGCUUGCUCGAAUCAUCAAGAUCAUUAGUCCAUGUUGCGUUAUCUAUGCAUGGUGAUUGCCC